rnacentral:lncRNA from 1 species
GUGGGGGGGGAAUUCCAGCACUCCCAGGCAAAGGAGGAGGUGGGGGGAUGGCAGUACCUCCAGGCAAAGAAGAGGGUGAAGGGAUGCCAACACCCUCAGGCAAAGGAGGGGGUGGAGGGAUGGUAGCAUCCCCAGACAAAGGAGGGGGUGGAGAGAUAGCAGUACCUCCAGGUAAAGAAGGGGGUGAGGAGAUGCAAACACCCCCA